rnacentral:rRNA from 1 species
UACGUAGGCAGCGAGCGUUGUUCGGAAUUACUGGGCGUAAAGAGUGUGUAGGCGGUGUUCCCAGUCUGUUGUGAAAUCUCCCGGCUUAACUGGGAGGGUGCAGCGGAAACUAGAAUGCUAGAGGCAGGCAGGGGAGAACGGAAUUCCCGGUGUAGCGGUGAAAUGCGCAGAUAUCGGGAGGACACCGGUGGCGAAGGCAGCCCCUGGGUCAAAACUGACGCUCAUGCACGAAAGCGUGGGGAGCAAACAGG